rnacentral:lncRNA from 1 species
AAAAUUACGUAGAGUGAUCGCAGAAACUAUUCGCAAGCUUGCGCACACGUGGGAAAGUUGAAGCUUUCUGAGAAUGGAGAACCCCGGACGGCCGUGGAGGCCUGAAAACAAGACAGUCCGAAAAAAGGGCCUUCUGGUUUAUAAAAUUACGUGAGUGAUUGCAGAAACUAUUCGCAAGCUUGUGCACACGUGGGAAAGUUGAAGAUUUCUGAGAAUGGAGAACCCCGGACGACCGUGGAGGCCUGAAAACAAGACAGUCCGAAAAAAGGGCCUUCUGUCUACACGCUUUCGAGAAUAGAAUAGACGAGACGGCUGUGAUUGACAAAGUAGGGGGAGGUGAGUCUUGUCUCCUUUCACUUUGUCGUACUCGGAGGAGUGGUGACUAGAGAGUACAUGCCAGACGAAACGACGGUGGCUCCAUACGGGGGAUUGUCGGGUUCUUAUGGGUGCAUUAACUAGAAAUUGGUUGGAAUUGGAAGUAACUGUAAGCGAGGGAGGGAAAGGAAAAUCCAUACGGGGGAUUGUCGUGUUCUUAUGGGUGCAUUAACUAGAAUUUGGUUGGAAUUGGAAAUAACUGUAAGCGAGGGAGGGAAAGGAAAAGCAAAAAGUUUUAUGGCGUUCGUACUCCACAUCCGUGAAGCACUUCACUCGCUCAAGAAGACACAUAAAUUACUAGCUUUCCUUUCUUUCGGGGCCAUUUCCUUUGCCCUUUCUUCUUAGUCUGAGGCAUCUCCCUCUCGUCCUAUUGUGGUAAGUUAACGGUAAAGUCUUGGAAAUUAGGGUUUUGCAAUCAUUCCAAUCCCUCUAGUCUUGGCAGCUUCAUUAAGCCAUUCUGCUAUCAUUCUAGUUGUUAGUGAAGUGACUGCCUGAUGUUCGAUCGUGUAACUGGCACCGCAGCCAAUGAAUGUCCUCAACUCGGAGAAAGGGAGUAAGGUAAUUCAUCAUCAACCAAGGCAGGAAUCGUUAGAGUAUUGUAUUGCCCUCCAAUAGGACUAUACAGAGCAGCGGGAAGGUCGGAAUCUAGUGAAUCUGUCUUUAGAGUGUAGCUCCGCACCUUACCCAUCGUGUAAUGACAGUGUGCCUUCACCCCAUGAUCUUAGUGCUCCGAUUGCGCCUUCUGUAUCUGUAACUGUAAGUGCAUAUGUAUACACUAAUUUAUAUGUGGGCUCCGCUUCGGGGAAGACGAGUUGACUCCACAAAGCAGAAAAUUAUUGCCUCGCCAUAUGUAUACACUAAUUUAUAUAUGGGAUCUGCUUCGGGGAAGACGAGUUGACUCCACAAAGCAGAAAAUUAUUGACUCGGAUAUUCCAUUAACGGUUACCUAUCCCAGGAAAAGAAAAGAAAGGGCAAUCUGCUAGAGGCACCUUCCUAUUCCUUGCCGCAACGUAUCCCAGGUUGGCUACCUUUCCCUUGCGAAAUCCUAGGAGACUCUUGCUUGUAGGCGUAAGGAAGAUUUCUGAUUCACCGCUUGGACCUAAAAACAAUCUACUAAAGGUCUUCCGAUUCUGCUGCGGGUAUUUUAUUUUCUUGGAUCUUAUCGAUCUAUGCCCUUUUGGUCUAUGGGGUAUCCCCCUUUUCCGCUUUUCUUUCUUUCAUCUUCCUAAUUCCUCAGGUAAGCUUCAUGCCAGUCUGACUAAGGUAAGGGGGGAAGACCUCAUUUCGUCAUUCAUAUCUAUUCGUCUUAGCCCUGCUUCGGCGAUUCAAUCCGACAUUUCAUUUCCCCAUUCAUCAUUUGAUUUUUCGCAUCUAAGAGCUGAUCUUGAAAAAGGAGUACAGUGUGAUAACAAGCGAUUUGUGAUCAAUAAAAAGUACCACCGGAUUCUUUACCCAUCAGUCUUAGAUCCUCACCUUAGACAGUUUCAUUUGGUUAUGAAAGAAAGGCUUUAUCCCUAGCGUUAAGGUCUCUAUCAAGCACUCUUCUAAAGCUGUCUUCAAGCCCUCAUAUUCAACUCGCUGCCUCAUCCACAUAGCAUGAACUCGCUCGAAGUGCUUUCUUCUUCUAAAGCUGUCUUCAAACCCUCAAAUUCAGCUCGCUGCCUCAUCCACAUAGCAUGAACUCGCUCGAAGUUCUUUCUCCUACUAUGGUGGAGUUUACCAAGAACUCUAAACAUUAGGAGCACCGGUUCUAUUUCAGAAGAAGCAUGAUGGCAGUUUAAGGUUAUGCAUCGAUUAUAGAGCGCUGAACAAAAUGACCAUCAAGAACAAGUACCUUAUGUAUCUUAUUGCAGACCUUUUCGAUCAGUUGAGUGGAGCACGAUACUUCACGAAGUUUGAUUUGCGGUCGGGGUAUUAUCAAGUGCGUAUUGCCGAGGGUGAACAUAUUUCUUUUCUCUUGUGUUGGCUUUGCAAGUUCCUGCUGUGCAUCCCUGCCCGAUCAUUUUC